rnacentral:lncRNA from 1 species
CUACCGCCAUCACUUGCUACCAUCUGCUAUCACUGUCACUAACCAUACAUUACAACCAUUGUUGGCUACAGGCUCCUAUGUCGAUGCUAGCCACUGCCGGCACUAUAAUUAAAGUAGCAAUCAAGCAAAUUUUGAUUUUUAAAUUUUUUUAUAAAAAAGAACAUGAUUUUGAUUUUUAUAAAAAUUUGAAAAUGAAAAAUCUAAAUUAAUGUCUUGUUUA